UCUUAAUAUCCUUUCUUUCACCUUAUAUACCAGUCUAUGUGCCUCUCCCAACUUAAAUUACUAGACUCAGGAAUAUCAGUUAUAGUUCUGAAAAGGGUAAAGAAUGUCUAAAUUAGUUUAUGGCCUUGGAAAAAUUACUAAAUUAAAUAUCACAGCAACAUCAGUAAGUAAAACAUGCCUGAUUAGUAAUUCUCAUACUGUAAGAAAUGGAAAUAACCAGAUGACCCUGUGGGGGCUCUCUGUAGUGACUGCACAGCUCUUGCAUUAUCCAAAAUGCCUUUGAGGUCAUUCUUUCCUUGUUUUGAUUAAGGAAUAGCAUCUGGCUUCCUUAUAUCCAUACUAACCUCCUUAUCAAAUAUGCAUGUGGCUACACCCUUGGGCUACACCCUCUCCCAAACAUAGUUUUUAUUUUUUACAUGGCAACACUGAAAAUUUUCCAAAUUUUUAAGUUCUGCUUCUCUUUUAAACUCCAUCUUUCAUUGAUUUUCCUCUCCUUGGAUUUUAUUAUAAGCAGUCAAGGGAAGCC
rnacentral:lncRNA from 1 species